CCUACGGGUGGCAGCAGUAGGGAAUCUUCCACAAUGGGCGAAAGCCUGAUGGAGCAACGCCGCGUGGGUGAAGAAGGUCUUCGGAUCGUAAAACCCUGUUGUGAGAGAAGAAAGUGCGUGAGAGUAACUGUUCACGUGUCUACGGUAUCUAACCAGAAAGCCACGGCUAACUACGUGCCAGCAGCCGCGGUAAUACGUAGGUGGCAAGCGUUAUCCGGAUUUAUUGGGCGUAAAGGGAACGCAGGCGGUCUUUUAAGGCUGAUGUGAAAGUCUUCGGCUUAACCGGAAUAGUGCAGUGGACACUGGGUGACUUGAGUGCAGCAGAGGAGAGUGGAAUUCCAUGUGUAGCGGUGAAAUGCGUAGAUAUAAGGAAGAACUCCAGUGGCGAAAGCAGCUUUCUGGUCUGUAACUGACGCUGAGGUUCGAAAGCGUGGGUAGCAAACAGGAUUAGAUACCCUUGUAGUC
rnacentral:rRNA from 1 species